rnacentral:tRNA from 2 species
GCCCUGAUCUUCGUCAGGGGUGGGGAGUGUGCCUCCGGAGCAGAAGGUCGCAGGUUCGAAUCCUGUCCGGGGCACCA